AUUGAACGCUGGCGGCAGGCCUAACACAUGCAAGUCGAGCGGAGGAAGGGAGCUUGCUCCUGGAUUCAGCGGCGGACGGGUGAGUAAUGCCUAGGAAUCUGCCUGGUAGUGGGGGAUAACGUCCGGAAACGGGCGCUAAUACCGCAUACGUCCUGAGGGUGAAAGUGGGGGAUCUUCGGACCUCACGCUAUCAGAUGAGCCUAGGUCGGAUUAGCUAGUUGGUGGGGUAAAGGCCUACCAAGGCGACGAUCCGUAACUGGUCUGAGAGGAUGGUCAGUCACACUGGAACUGAGAAACGGUCCAGACUCCUACGGGAGGCAGCAGUGGGGAAUAUUGGACAAUGGGCGAAAGCCUGAUCCAGCCAUGCCGCGUGUGUGAAGAAGGUCUUCGGAUUGUAAAGCACUUUAAGUUGGGAGGAAGGGCAGUAAGUUAAUACCUUGCUGUUUUGACGUUACCAACAGAAUAAGCACCGGCUAACUUCGUG
rnacentral:rRNA from 1 species